GGUUAAGCGACUAAGCGUACACGGUGGAUGCCCUGGCAGUCAGAGGCGAUGAAGGACGUGCUAAUCUGCGAUAAGCGUCGGUAAGGUGAUAUGAACCGUUAUAACCGGCGAUUUCCGAAUGGGGAAACCCAGUGUGAUUCGUCACACUAUCAUUAACUGAAUCCAUAGGUUAAUGAGGCGAACCGGGGGAACUGAAACAUCUAAGUACCCCGAGGAAAAGAAAUCAACCGAGAUUCCCCCAGUAGCGGCGAGCGAACGGGGAGCAGCCCAGAGCCUGAAUCAGUGUGUGUGUUAGUGGAAGCGUCUGGAAAGGCGUGCGAUACAGGGUGACAGCCCCGUACACAAAAAUGCACAUACUGUGAGCUCGAUGAGUAGGGCGGGACACGUGGUAUCCUGUCUGAAUAUGGGGGGACCAUCCUCCAAGGCUAAAUACUCCUGACUGACCGAUAGUGAACCAGUACCGUGAGGGAAAGGCGAAAAGAACCCCGGCGAGGGGAGUGAAAAAGAACCUGAAACCGUGUACGUACAAGCAGUGGGAGCACGCUUAGGCGUGUGACUGCGUACCUUUUGUAUAAUGGGUCAGCGACUUAUAUUCUGUAGCAAGGUUAACCGAAUAGGGGAGCCGAAGGGAAACCGAGUCUUAACUGGGCGUUAAGUUGCAGGGUAUAGACCCGAAACCCGGUGAUCUAGCCAUGGGCAGGUUGAAGGUUGGGUAACACUAACUGGAGGACCGAACCGACUAAUGUUGAAAAAUUAGCGGAUGACUUGUGGCUGGGGGUGAAAGGCCAAUCAAACCGGGAGAUAGCUGGUUCUCCCCGAAAGCUAUUUAGGUAGCGCCUCGUGAAUUCAUCUCCGGGGGUAGAGCACUGUUUCGGCAAGGGGGUCAUCCCGACUUACCAACCCGAUGCAAACUGCGAAUACCGGAGAAUGUUAUCACGGGAGACACACGGCGGGUGCUAACGUCCGUCGUGAAGAGGGAAACAACCCAGACCGCCAGCUAAGGUCCCAAAGUCAUGGUUAAGUGGGAAACGAUGUGGGAAGGCCCAGACAGCCAGGAUGUUGGCUUAGAAGCAGCCAUCAUUUAAAGAAAGCGUAAUAGCUCACUGGUCGAGUCGGCCUGCGCGGAAGAUGUAACGGGGCUAAACCAUGCACCGAAGCUGCGGCAGCGACGCUUAUGCGUUGUUGGGUAGGGGAGCGUUCUGUAAGCCUGUGAAGGUGUGCUGUGAGGUAUGCUGGAGGUAUCAGAAGUGCGAAUGCUGACAUAAGUAACGAUAAAGCGGGUGAAAAGCCCGCUCGCCGGAAGACCAAGGGUUCCUGUCCAACGUUAAUCGGGGCAGGGUGAGUCGACCCCUAAGGCGAGGCCGAAAGGCGUAGUCGAUGGGAAACAGGUUAAUAUUCCUGUACUUGGUGUUACUGCGAAGGGGGGACGGAGAAGGCUAUGUUGGCCGG
rnacentral:rRNA from 1 species